AAUAGAUACCCCGGUAGUCCACGCCGUAAACGAUGAGUGCUAAGUGUUAGGGGGUUUCCGCCCCUUAGUGCUGCAGCUAACGCAUUAAGCACUCCGCCUGGGGAGUACGGUCGCAAGACUGAAACUCAAAGGAAUUGACGGGGGCCCGCACAAGCGGUGGAGCAUGUGGUUUAAUUCGAAGCAACGCGAAGAACCUUACCAGGUCUUGACAUCCCAUUGACCACUAUGGAGACAUAGUUUUCCCUUCGGGGACAACGGUGACAGGUGGUGCAUGGUUGUCGUCAGCUCGUGUCGUGAGAUGUUGGGUUAAGUCCCGCAACGAGCGCAACCCUUGUUCUUAGUUGCCAUCAUUUAGUUGGGCACUCUAAGGAGACUGCCGGUGACAAACCGGAGGAAGGUGGGGAUGAACGGUCAAAUCGAUCAUGCCCCUUAUGACCUGGGCCUACACACGUGCUACAAUGGACGGUACAAACGGUUGCCAACCCGCGAGGGGGAGCUAAUCCGAUAAAACCGUUCUCAGUUCGGAUUGUAGGCUGCAACUCGCCUACAUGAAGACC
rnacentral:rRNA from 1 species